rnacentral:rRNA from 1 species
UACGUAGGGUGCAGGCGUUAAUCGGAAUUACUGGGCGUAAAGCGUGCGCAGGCGGUUUGCUAAGACAGGUGUGAAAUCCCCGGGCUCAACCUGGGAACUGCAUUGUGACUGCAUGGCUGGAGUGCGGCAGAGGGGGAUGGAAUUCCGCGUGUAGCAGUGAAAUGCGUAGAUAUUGGGAGGAACACCAGUGGCGAAGGCGGCUCACUGGCCCGAUACUGACGCUGAGGCACGAAAGCGUGGGGAGCAAACAGG